GCCCAGCUUGCUGGGUGGAUCAGUGGCGAACGGGUGAGUAACACGUGAGCAACCUGCCCCUGACUCUGGGAUAAGCGCUGGAAACGGCGUCUAAUACUGGAUACGAGUAGCGACCGCAUGGUCAGUUACUGGAAAGAUUUAUUGGUUGGGGAUGGGCUCGCGGCCUAUCAGCUUGUUGGUGAGGUAAUGGCUCACCAAGGCGUCGACGGGUAGCCGGCCUGAGAGGGUGACCGGCCACACUGGGACUGAGACACGGCCCAGACUCCUACGGGAGGCAGCAGUGGGGAAUAUUGCACAAUGGGCGCAAGCCUGAUGCAGCAACGCCGCGUGAGGGAUGACGGCCUUCGGGUUGUAAACCUCUUUUAGCAGGGAAGAAGCGAAAGUGACGGUACCUGCAGAAAAAGCGCCGGCUAACUACGUGCC
rnacentral:rRNA from 1 species